rnacentral:rRNA from 1 species
CCUACGGGAGGCAGCAGUGGGGAAUAUUGGGCAAUGGGCGCAAGCCUGACCCAGCAACGCCGCGUGAAGGAAGAAGGAUUUCGGUUUGUAAACUUCUUUUCUCAGGGACGAAGCAAGUGACGGUACCUGAGGAAUAAGCCACGGCUAACUACGUGCCAGCAGCCGCGGUAAUACGUAGGGGGCAAGCGUUAUCCGGAUUUACUGGGUGUAAAGGGCGGGUAGGCGGGAAAGCAAGUCAGAUGUGAAAGCCAUGGGCUCAACCUGCGGACUGCAUUUGAAACUGUUUUGCUUGAGUACUGGAGAGGCAGACGGAAUUCCUAGUGUAGCGGUGAAAUGCGUAGAUAUUAGGAGGAACACCAGUGGCGAAGGCGGUCUGCUGGACAGCAACUGACGCUGAGGCGCGAAAGCGUGGGGAGCAAACAGGAUUAGAUACCCUUGUAGUC